rnacentral:tRNA from 1 species
ACCAUUUUAGUAUAAAAAGUAUAAUUGACCUCCAAUCAAAAGGAUGAAUAAUCAAAAUGGUA